UUAGCUUGGGUGACAUAGAAAUAAUGCCUUUUGAUUCAAUACACUACCAUCACCUUGUCAGAGCUUAAAAAUUUCAGUUCAUCAUGAAACAAUUGGAUUUUAAGUUCUGCUAAUGUAAAAAAUUAUUUGAUGACGUGUAAACGGCCCACAGUCUCUUUUUCCAGCAUGCGCGAGCGGCCAUGUUUAAGGCCAGAGUGAGCACAUGGUGAGCAGCCGAAGCACAGCCGAAGCUCAUUGAAGCAUUUUGGUGAACGGAUGUGGAGGAGCUCGAUGCAGACCUUGCCAUGCAAGUGAUGGAGAUUGCCAUCAUCGGUGAUGGUUGUGCAACCAUCAUUGUUGAGGGAAACAAGAUCCUGCAGGGGAUUGAUGUUGCCAGAUCCUGUGCCUUGCUGAUGGGAGUAAUCUUUGUCAGGAGAACGCAGCCUACAACUUCUGCUGUUUGCACUUUAAAUGAUUUAGUGCUGCUGUUAAGGAUUUAGUGUUAUUCAUAAUUUUAAUAAAUGGUUCUUAUUAAUUUGAA